CUGAAAGCGGUUAGACACCGUUACUUCAAGUGAUGCCGCCUCUGUGAAUUGUGUACGCCCUUUUCUACGUCUACGACCUACGUUCACCCAGCUCUCUCGACCUACCUGUUCAUCAUUCUCCUCCCUCCCCGCUUGUGACGUACAGUACACACAGUCUCCCUAGAAGGCGUAUUAACAGAGUAAGUAUCCCAGGACAAGGAUUUUUAGGACAAGAUGAGCAUCUUGGCUCCUUUCAUGAGAAACAAGUUAUAUAAGUGAUCAGUAAAAAAACAUGUUUAUGCUGUUCAGCCUUGGCACAAUAAUAUUACGGGUGAAUCAUGGAUGACGUAUGUGAAUCUCAGGAUGAUUAGUCCAUACACGGUCAGAAUCAAUCCACACCUCAGUCAUCUCAUGUGUAUGACAGUAGGCCUAACAGGAGGACAAUGAUUUAUUUUAGGCGACGUAAUUGUCUGCAAGUUUGUCCCAAUACACUGAAUACUAGGUGAACAUCGACUUUUAAGACUCCAAAGUGAACACGUACUUUUAUAAUGAAUUAAAGGUGCAUUUAUGUCAAUGGAAACGACUACGUCUAUUUAUUAGUCCUUCUCAGGCAUUGUUUUCGGGUUACCUCAAAAAUCGGCUUAAGAUGGGACUCUCGGAACCGAUUAAUAAUGUAAGGUGGGGUGUGACCAGGGGCGCCGUAAGGGGGAGGAAAGCUAGGACGAUUCCAAGGGCCCCUGAGUGACAGGGGCCCUAAAAAAUUAGGAAAAUAACUGGAUUGGUUUGGACUGGGGGGCCUAAUAUGAUAUGCUUUCAUGGGGCCCAAAAUCUCUAGCGGCGCCCCUGGGUGUGACAGUACCUUUUACAUUCCUGCCAAAACUAAUGGCUGUGUGUGUGAAUUUCAAACUAGGUGGGCUCUGCCUCCUCAACUCACUUGUUUUCUUUCUUUCAUUGGUUUAUUUAAUUGUCACCGGCUGACAAUAUGCGCCCGUAUACGUGAAGAACUGAAGAAUAACGACAGAACGACGUUUUGCAGUGGUAAGCUAACAAAUAAUUUCCCUCAAACUGGACCGUUUGGUGUUAGAAAAUAUUGCUAUUGUUUGUAACCAAGAAUAUAUUUUGCAGUUAAAAAUAACGCUGACUGACCGGAGGAUAUUUAGCCUGGUGGGUGUGCUGAAGUUUUUUUUCCGUGCUGUUUUUUCAUGUGCAUAGAGGGUAUUUAAAUUGGCAGCUUUAAUUGCUGUCGCUAUAGCUAGAUAAGAAUGAUUACCUGCCAUUACUGCAGCAAAACACUACAGACGUUAAGGCGUUACGUGCUCCUCUGUAGAAUUCACAGGAACGAACCACAUUGUUUUUUUAAAUGCCACGUCACUGACAUUUUGCACUUAUACAGCUUUUAAAGCACAUUUCUAUCGGGUUCACAAUGUGCCUGCACCCUCUGUCACUCCUGUAGGAAAUUUUAAAUGUGCCAUUUCGCAGUGGAGGCGCAACCUGUGCCAUGUCCAGUAACUGGUUGUAAAAAUACAUUCACCGUUAAAUCAUCCUUUACUGCCCACAUGUUAAGGAAACAUAGAGAAUGUUCGGUAAAUAGCAUAAGUGACAUGUACAGAGAAAUUAUUUCAGUCUUCUGGAACUCCAUGUGAAGAGGCUUCCCACAACUCUGAUAGCAUUGAAGGCGCUGAAUUGACACAGAAUUUCAGCUAAACCUUUCUUAGGAAUUAUUGAAGAGAUGCAAAAUGUGAAUGAUUUUGGGCAGGAUUACACUUUAAGUAUACUACAUUCACUCUUUAACAAUGACAUGAGCCUAAAUGAAUUACAAUAGGAAAUGAUGAAAAUAUGACAGAAAGGUUUGCUUACUACAUACCUGUGAUGCAAACAUUGAAUGGUUUAUUAAAAUCAGAAUUGUGGAAAAAUUCUGUUUCCCAACCAUCUCGUGAAACAGACUCGUAUGUUUUAAGUCAUAUAAGUGAGGGACAAAGCUUUAAGUCCAACCAGUUCUUCAUUGAAAAUCCAGGAUUCAUGAAGCUAAUUCUAUACCAGGAUGCUUUUGAAAUUAAACCCCUUGGCUCUGCUAAGAAAACACACAAAGUUGUUGCAGUCUUUCUUUGACUCUUUAUUUGACUCUUUCUGUAGCAAAUGUACCUGUUCAUGUACGGUCCAGUACUGAUCACAUGUCCCUUGUCUUAACGUGUAGAGAGAAUGACCUGAAAGACUUUAGAAGUGCUAAGGUUUUCUCAGAAAUGUUAGUGGAUUUGAAAGAUUUGGAGGAAAAUGGAAUAACUCUAGGUGGUAAAGCGGUCAAAUGGGCUUUAUAUUGCAUUGCUUCUGAUAAUUUGGGAUCACAUAGCAUUGGUAGACUUACUGAGAACUUCAGUCGUUUUCAGUACUUUUGCAGGUACUGUGAAGUCACAUAAAGACAGUUUCAGAGUGAUGACCCAAAUGUUUGUGGUCCCCUGAAAGUUACCAUUCUGCUGUUGGUGAUCUAUACAAGCUGGAGUCAAUCAAGACAUCAAAGGUAUAAUGACAUCAGUUUCAGGCAUCCCUUUCGGCUGGGCCAGGAGGCACUCAGCUUCUGCAAGUCAAAGACAGUUCUACAUUGUACCUCAACUUUUACGGUGACAAAAUUAAACAUGUAGUUAGCGACUUUGGCUUUUCAGAAAUACAAUAUAAAGGUACGUCAUAUAAAAAGGACAUUUCCUUGUUUCAAAAAAUGACUUCAUGGAGUUUCAUGGAGAGCUUUUCAUUAUUCUAAUUCAAAAUAAUGCAGCUGUGUAUUUUGUGAUGGACAUGCAUAAAUCAGUCUAUCUUACUAAAUACCACCUGUACUCAGUAAUAAAACAGAGUACAAGGAUGCAGUGUCUUAAUAUUAAUGACUUGACAGAAUUUUAUCUGUUACCAUCAUACAUUAUUGAUGGGCACCAAGUCAUCCCACUGAAACACAGUGUUUUGUCAAAGUAACCCUCAUUUUGGCCACUUUGCUCUAAAAUGCACAUGUACUGUAUGCUUCUUAGAAAUUACUGGGAAAGUGACCAUAGUUUUUCCUUUUAGAUGUACAGAAAUAAAAGGUGAACUUAUUUCUCACGUUAUAUACUCCAAGUAAUGGUGCCUCUUAUCUCAAUACAGUUUAUGUACAGUCUUGCUUGACUCAAUGUCUUAACUACUUUUUUCAUCUUUCAUUUUUGAUCGCAAACUGAUAUCUUCCUGCAGAAAUGACCGACUUGCAACAAACAUUUCUAUGUGCCGCCAUUACUGAGGUCUUGCCCACCCUUCCAGAUGGCUCAAAAGGCAUUCUAGAGGAGACCUUACAAUCCCUUGGGCUGGAGACAUAUGAUGAUUUUCAAUUUAUUGAGGAAGCUGAUUUGUUGUCAGCCUUGAAACCCAUUCAAGCCCGAAAAGUUCUUGCUGCCUGGAAGCUAAAAUGCCAGAGUCCUGAAUCCAAGGGUUCAUCUGUUCAUCUGGUGGUGCCUCACCAGGACCUUCCCCAGCUUUGCAGUGUCUUUCACCCAGAUAUUCAACCUCUUCAAGCAGCUGUCAAAGUCCUGAUAUAGACUGGGUGGAUACCUUUAUGAUACCAUGGGAGAAAGUACCAGAGGAACUGAUGCAGACAUUUAAGAGAGGGAAACGUCCAAGUCCACGAAUGACGAGCAAGAUGAUAUGGAUUGUCGUUAGUGAGAUGAUGAGACAUACUUCUUACAUAAGCAGAAGGCACUCCACAGAUGAUGCCAAAAAGAUGGUGGCAAAAUAUCCAAAAUCUCUGCAAGACAUAAUAGAGGGGAACAAUACUGGAACAGGCUGUGACACUCUUGUUAAGGAAUUGCAAAGUAGGAUAGAAAAUUUGAAGUGGUCUACAACCCCAAAAAUCAGAAAACAUAAACAUGGUGUCACGCCGGUGGGGCGGGCGAGCAGGAAAGCAGGCAGAUCAGCUGGAUGGAUGGAUAAACAAGGUUUAUUUAGGAAACAGGCAGGACCGGGGAAGCACGACGACUAACAUGUACAAUGACAGAACUGGGGAAUACUGACUGAGACACGGACUAAAUACUCAAGACAAGGUAAAAGGAAUAGGCAACAGGUGAGUACAAUCAGGAAU